UCUGUUUUAUGAAUCGCAGCUAAAACACAAACAGCCAGAAAGCUCGGUUCUUUAUUUACUGUAGAAACUUUAAAUAAGAGCUGCUCCUGCUCCUGAACAUCUACCUGCUCUGUUUCUACUCAUCACCUGGAUCUGGUGUGCUCGUGCCAAUCAGAACAUAGAAACACCUGAGUCUAUAGCAACAACAGGAGAGGAGUUCUGGAAAACAGAUUAACCUGUUUUUCUUGAUCCAUGAUGUAAAGACUCAAUUUAAAAAAAAACUCCAACAUAAUGAAACUUCUGACUGAUGGAAAAAGGACAAAACGACUCCUGCUGAGGAAUCUGCCGACAUCUUGUUAAAUCGCAGCAGAGCACUGGAGAUGCGAUUCCCCCUGAUUCUUAAACAUGAAGCUCCUCCGUCGGCUUCACCUCUUCCUGAUCGGCUGCUGAGGAUCAGAGGGGCGCCGGAGGCCUUUCUGCCCGCCUGCCAACGUGCGAUCCUCUCGCAGCCCACUCCGUAUGAAAUUCGUGUCGAACAAAACACUGUGGAUUGACGGUGCAUCUUAACAAGCACCACUCUGAGUAAUAAAUACGAUUAACACAGAGAAACUCUGUCACUUCCUAAUCCUCUCUGAGCUGGUUAUGGAAGCCCCGAAGCCUUCAGAUUCCUGUAAGUGGAUGGAGGAAGCAAAUGACUGCAGACGUUAAGCGGCGUGUAAAUGUUCAGAGGUGGCCGCGUGAUGGGAGUCUGAGUAACAUCCCACGACGUCCCAACAGGAUAAACAGUCCCAUCUCACUUUCAAAGUCCUGCUGGACCGGGGCUGCGGCAGGGGAGCAGAUCAGAAGGAGGCAUCACAUAAACUGAAAUAGAAGUUGAACUUGUGUGGUCGUCCAUCAUCCUUACAGUCCAACUUCAAUGAAAACUGGGUUUUUGAGUUGUUCUUGUGGCAUUUUUUGAUGAUAGAUAAAGACACAUAAGCUUAGAACUGCAUUGCGGAAUAUUUCUUUAGUCAAAUCGUUGUGAAUCAGGAGCAGACCUAAAGAAAUGCCGUUUG